AGAAUGAACGCUGGCGGCAUGCCUAACACAUGCAAGUCGAACGAGACCUUCGGGUCUAGUGGCGCACGGGUGCGUAACGCGUGGGAAUCUGCCCUUGGGUUCGGAAUAACAGUGGGAAACUACUGCUAAUACCGGAUAAUGACGUAAGUCCAAAGAUUUAUCGCCCAGGGAUGAGCCCGCGUAAGAUUAGCUAGUUGGUGGGGUAAAGGCCUACCAAGGCGACGAUCUUUAGCUGGUCUGAGAGGAUGAUCAGCCACACUGGGACUGAGACACGGCCCAGACUCCUACGGGAGGCAGCAGUGGGGAAUAUUGGACAAUGGGCGAAAGCCUGAUCCAGCAAUGCCGCGUGAGUGAUGAAGGCCUUAGGGUGUAAAGCUCUUUUACCCGGGAAGAUAAUGACUGUACCGGGAGAAUAAGCCCCGGCUAACGUCCGUGCCAGCAGCCGC
rnacentral:rRNA from 1 species